rnacentral:lncRNA from 1 species
UUAAUUUGGAUCCCCACUACAUGCUUCUCCCGGCUUGUUUUAAAUAUAUGCUUGUGUAACGCAGGAGCUGCUACUAUGAUAUUUUAUUGUUUCAGUCUUAUUUAUUGAUUGUUGGAGAUAUGGAUGGAUGGUUAGGAUUAUAAGUUAUUGUUAAAGUUUUAAUCUAGGAAUAGGAAUAUAGGAUUAAAGCUUUAUUUGUAACUUAGCAUAAAUAAGUUGUGAAAUAGAUUUACAACUACUUUAUGAUUAUUUUAUUUGAGGAUAAAUCUCAAAUCUAUACCUGAAUAUUGUGCAAUGUGAUAGGUGAACUUUGAUUUUGUUCAAUUGAAUACAUAGAAAUGUAAAUUUAAAUUAAAUUUUAAUUUCACAGAGCACUCACAAUUUCCAACAUGAAACUGUUUUAUGUUUAUUUAUUGCAUACACUUAUAAUUAAAUUUACCCAACAUGAAUUAAUUGAAAUUAUUAUUUUUUAAUGUAUAAUAAUAUCAAAACCAAAGUUCCAUGCAUAAGAUUGAAUCAAAAUUAAAGUUUGACAUGCAUAAUUGCACCAAAUCAAAGUUAACUUGUUAUAUUACACAUUGGAUUAAAGCUCUUGUGUAAUUAGGAGUUUUAUCCCCUUUUUUUAAUGAAUAGAAUUAGAAACUAGAGGUUUAUCUAACCCCAUG